rnacentral:lncRNA from 1 species
UUCGGAGAGAGAGCAGUCUUUGAGUUUCACCUAAAAGGAAGUUGGGGACAGUAUCACUGUCAGUGUGUUUGCCGUGGGAACGUAGCCAGAUCAUUCAUAUAGCAAUCAUCUCACACACCUAAGUUCCUACUGAUUAGCCAUCAACUGUUAGCAAAAUUCCUCACUUCCUUUGUGCUGAUUUAUGGCAGCAGUAGAAAUAUACCACCCCAGAGGACACGCCUCCUUUCAGCGAGGAACCUAUAAAUAUCAAGGUAUUUUUUAUUCUAAUUGAGAAGAACCCAGCAAAAUGGGGCUCUCCAUGGUCAUCUUUGAAAUAUGUCUUUUACUGGGUCCAGUUCUAUCUUCAGCAAGAUCACAAACAAGGACCCUGGAUACCAUUUCUGAAGACACACGGACAUCACCUGGUAACUCUACACUCUGGGACUGGGUGGUGUGGGGCCCACCCCCACCCCCAAGGACUCAGGAGGGAGUGCUGGGUUUUAGAUGUAGGAAAAGGAAGGACCUCUUCUGAUGUGGUCCACCUGGGCCCUCAGCCCCUUCCUUGGAAGGUUCUGCAUUGAUCAGAAGACAGACCCUGAGUCUCUGCCAGCCUGUGCCAGGCAACCCCUCUUUCCUAGGAUCUCUGCCCUCCCAGGGUGACCCAUGGGGACUGCAGCCAUUUAGCAGGGCAGCAGAGGCAGGUGGGGAAAGGAGUAUCUUACUAAGGCUCUCUGGGUAUAAUUAGUUACUAUUUCUCUUCUUUUCUAGAAUUUUUAUCAAGGUUUGGGGCGGUGGAAAAUUCUACCUCCAUCGAUGCUUCAAGUGGUAAUUUCUGCCACUUUUUUAUCUUAUUAUAGUCCUGUGUAUACAUGAGUGUGCUUGCUUGUGCAAGAAUGCAGACCUUAUGAUUUGGGGCACAUAGUGUAAAUGUUUAUAUAUAUAUAUAUAUAUAUAUAUAUAUAUAUAUAUAUAUAUAUUUAAAUUGUUACUGUUUUAUGGGAUCCCUGGGUGGCGCAGCGGUUUGGCGCCUGCCUUUGGCCCAGGGCGUGAUCCUGGAGACCCGGGAUCGAAUCCCAUGUCGGGCUCCCGGUGCUUGGAGCCUGCUUCUCCCUCUGCCUAUGUCUCUGCCUCUCUCUCUCUCUCUGUGACUAUCAUAAAAAAUAAAAAAAAAAAUUAAAAAAAAAUUGUUACUGUUUUAAAAUAUUUUAAUAUAAUUAAUAUUUAAAUUUUAAUAUUAAAUUAAAAUUAAUAUUUUAAAUACAUAACAGUAUUUAAUAUUAUAAGAUUAUAAUAUUUAACAAAAUAUUAAAUAAAAUAUUUAAAAUUAUUAUUAUUUUUUAAAGAUUUUAUUUAUUUAUCCACAAAAGACACAGAGAGAGAGAGAGAGGCAGAGACACAGGCAGAGGGAGAAGCAAGCUCCAUGCAGGGAGCCUAAUGCGGGAGUCUAUCCCAGGUCUCCAGGAUCACGUCCUGGGCCAAAGGCAGGUGCUAAACCACUGAGCCACCCAGGGAUUCCCUAUUUAAAAAUUAUUUUUAUUUAAAAAUAUACUAUAUAUGUAUAAUAUAUAAUAUGUAUAUACAUUCUAAAAAGCAGAACUUUUAGAUGAUUAAGAGCAACUGAGAUGAUUAAGAGCAACUGCCUGAGUACAAGUCCUGCCCCUUAUCACUUACUAGUCAGGUGGUCUUGGUCACCUUCCAGAGUCUCAGUUUUCCCAUGGGU